ACCCAGUAGGCUCUGUUCGCGAGAUCUGGGCUCUAGGCUCACGGCAAGGAAACCAGGGCCCCCACUCCUGGUUGCAGCGUCCCUGCGUGCACCCGUUAGCAAAUAUUCCCGAAGAGGGGUUGGGGAGGUGACGGCUGCCUUGGGCGUGGGGAGAGUGAGCCUUGCGGUGUAAUGGAAAAAACGGAUUCUGGAGGUGGACUUACUGAGGCAAACAUGACUGUUCCCUGGGUUGCUCCUGAAGUCAGCUUUCUGGAAAGUUCCUCUGAGGAAGAAGUGAAUUGUUGAUCCACCCAAGUUUCCCAACCCCAGCCGCCAAGGACCUGGUGAUGCAAUCAAGACAUUCCAACAUAUUACAAAGGGAGAGAGCAGCUGCUGUGGCUGGAGGGCAGGUGUGAGGAAGAGACCCAUUCCACCUACGCCCCGCACAAGCAAGGAGGACCAACGUGCGUGCAUCAGACCCACCUUCAUCUUCAUCUUCAUCCUCCUCGUCUUCAUCUUCAUCAACUUCUCCAUCGUGUCCAAAUUCUUCUUCCUAAAGAACAGUAAACAGCAACCACUAUUAGGUUGAUCUGCCAAGCUGAGACGUACAAAGAGAAAAAUAACUUGCCAAUAAAUGUAAAAAUUCACCAAGGAGAAAACUUUAAUAUUAUCUUUAUCUACUUUAAUGUUCUGAGAUCUGUUCAUUUUUCUGAAUAAAUGAAUUAAAAUUUUCUUUAAAAACUGCUUUUCAGAAGUAAGCA